rnacentral:lncRNA from 1 species
UUGGUCUACCAGAGAGGGCACAUGUGCCUCAAUUGGCCUAUAGCAUAGUGGCUCAUUAUCCUUCCACCGCUGGUGGCGGGCGGUACUCGCUGCUCUGUGAAGCCAGCCUCACGCAAUGUCCGCCACUUUAGGUGUUGGGAUGCAAAGGCUUUCGCCAAGGCAUCCGAAACCCACUACACAACUUGGAAUGGGUGGUCCACAGUUUGUAGCAAUAGACCCAGGCACAUGCACCACAAUUGACAUUCACACUACCUUAUUGCCCCCGCUCGGGUUACAAGCAAUCGCUACUUGCUCAGCGAGUGAGGGGGUUCAAGACUACCUAUUUAAGGUGGUGUUGUACUGUAUGAGCCGGCGGUGUGGUAUUUACCAACUACAAAUAGUGUCAUGCAUGUGACUUGCUAGUUGACAAUGUCUAUUGUCGAGCUAGAUGUGGGCUAUAGAUGAAGCACAUUAGGAUAUAGUAGGCCUAUUUUGUUUUUUGUUGUUUUUGGGCCACUAUGGACUUUAUGUUGAUGUUGUGAAAUUUUUUCUUGUGUUUCCUCUUCCUACGAUGUGGAAAGUGGGUGCUUCAGAGAAGAAAGAAAGAGUGGCUAGCAUUGAUUUUACGUCAUACCAUUGAGAACACUAAUCAGAAGCAGAAGCAACAAUAUUUCAUACAUAUACAACACUUGUAAUCCAUAUAAACAACUUUCCUUUCAAAUAUAAUAUAAACCACAUGAUUUAUAUCCUGGGUCGGCUAUCUCCACAAAGGGCAAGAAAACGCUCCAAGUUUGUAGUAUAGCACUAAAAGUGUCGACUCUCACGAUUUCUUCCCGACAUAUGCAAACUAGACAGUAAUCACAUAAAAUAAAGAAAUAUGUGUUAACACAAACUUAUAGCAUGUAUUUCAACAUAUAGAUUUUUGAUUAUUAUGGUAGAUUAUAUAAUAUAGGGGUUCCCGAAAAAAUACAUAAAAAACAAGAGCAUUAAAAUUUCCUUUUCAGAUCUGGCUAACUGGUAAAGGGAGUUGGAGUAUCUGAGUUUCCAAAUUUGGGACGUCGCUCUAUAGAAGGAAUAUAAAUACAUUGGAAAAAAUUCUACAAGGAAAGGUUUAAUACAAGUAGCGCUAAGAAAAACUCAAUGAGGCUUUGGUCGCUUGGUCACAAAACUUGAGACAAGAAACACGAAGACACCAAGGUAAUUAGUAUGAGAGUUUUCCAAAUUUGGUGUCUUGAUGUAGAAAAAAUAAAUAUAUGACAAACUUGUUUUUUCGCAAGGCAUGGAUAAAUAAGUGGGGGUGAGCAAUAAAUUUCAUCCUAGAUUUAGAAGGAAUAAAUAUAUCACUAAAUACGUUUUUUCACAAUGCCAAGUUAAUCAGGUGGGAGCGAGAAACAAUUCUAGCGAGGCUAGGUUGUACUAGCCCAAAACUACAUACAACAGAGGAAAAAUAAAGAAAAUGAUGGUCUACCAAAUAGGGCGCAUGAGCCUUAAGGUGCACCUAGAGGGAAGUAGAAGAAAUAAAUAUAUAAUAGCAUAUGUUUUUCGCAAUGCAAGGUAAAGUGUAGAUGUGCUCUAACUGGGCUUAGAUUGCAGCGACACAUUAUGCAUCUACAAGGCUUGGUUGCACAUGGAAAAAGAUAGAGAGAGAAAUGUAGACGCAGGACCGGGAGAAAAACAUUCAAUGAGACGUGAUUGCACGGACAUAGAACUAGAUAUAAGACAAGAGUUAAAGAAAAAUAAAGGAACUAAAUUUUCUUCUGCACACUAAGCAUGAAUGGAGUUGUAGUAUCUGAGAUCAAAAUUUAAUUUAUUCCAAGAUGCAGAACAAAAACGUGAUACUCGUAAUGGUUACAUAGGAACAAAAGUAGAUAAGAAAAAUAGCAAAAAGAUAGUGGUCUACCAGAGAGGGCACAUGUGCCUCAAUUGGCCUAUAGCAUAGCGACUCAUUAUCCUUCCACCGCUGGUGGCGGGCGGUACUCGCUGCUCUGUGAAGCCAGCCUCACGCAAUGUCCGCCACUUUAGGUGUUGGGAUGCAAAGGCUUUCGCCAAGGCAUCCGAAACCCACUACACAACUUGGAAUGGGUGGUCCACAGUUUGUAGCACUAGACCCAGGCACAUGCACCACAAUUGACAUCCACACUACCUUAUUGCCCCCGCUCGGGUUACAAGCAAUCGCUACUUGCUCAGCGAGUGAGGGGGUUCAAGACUACCUAUUUAAGGUGGUGUUGUACUCUAUGAGCCGGCGGUGUGGUAUUUACCAACUACAAAUAGUGUCAUGCAUGUGACUUGCUAGUUGACAAUGUCUGUUGUCAAGCUAGGUGUGGGCUAUGGAUGAAGCACAUUAGGAUAUAGUAGGCCUAUUUUGUUUUUUGUUGUUUUUGGGCCACUAUGGACUGUAUGUUGAUGUUGUGAAAUUUUUUUCUUGUGUUUCCUCUUCCUACGAUGUGGAAAGUGGGUGCGUCAGAGAAGAAAGAAAGAGUGGCUAGCAUUGAUUUUACGUCAUACCAUUGAGAACACUAAUCAGAAGCAGAAGCAACAAUAUUUCAUACAUAUACAACACUUGUAAUCCAUAUAAACAACAUUCCUUUAAAAUAUAAUAUAAACCACAUGAUUUAUAUCCUGGGUCGGCUAUCUCCACAAAGGGCAAGAAAACGCUCCAAGUUUGUAGUAUAGCACUAAAAGUGUCGAUUCUCACGAUUUCUUCCCGACAUAUACAAACUAGACAGUAAUCACAUAAAAUAAAGAAAUAUGUGUUAACACGAACUUAUAACAUGUAUUUCAACAUAUAGAUUGUUGAUUAUUAUGGUAGAUUAUAUAAAAUAGGGGUUCCCGAAGAAAUACAUAAAAACAAGAGCAUUAAAAUUUCCUUUUCAGAUCUGGCUAUCUGGUAAAAGGAGUUGGAGUAACUGAGUUUCCAAAUUUGUGACGUAGCUCUAUAGAAGGAAUAUAAAUACGUUGGAAAAAUUCUAUAAGGAAAGGUUUAAUACAAGUAGGGCUAAGAAAAACUCAAUGAGGCUUUGGUCGCAUGGUCACAAAACUUGAGACAAGAAACACGAAGACACCAAGGUAAUUAGUAUGAGAGUUUUCCAAAUUUGGUGUCUUGAUGUAGAAAAAAUAAAUAUAUGACAAACUUGUUUUUUCGCAAGGCAUGGAUAAAUAAGUGGGGGUGAGCAAUAAAUUUCAUCCUAGAUUUAGAAGGAAUAAAUAUAUCACUAAAUAUGUUUUUUCACAAUGCCAAGUUAAUCAGGUGGGAGCGAGAAACAAUUCUAGCGAGGCUAGGUUGUACUAGCCCAAAACUACAUACAACAGAGGAAAAAUGAAGAAAAUGAUGGUCUACCAAAUAUGGCGCAUGAGCCUUAAGGUGCACCUAGAGGGAAGUAGAAGAAAUAAAUAUAUAAUAGCAUAUGUUUUUCGCAAUGCAAGGUAAAGUGUAGAUGUGCUCUAACUGGGCUUAGAUUGCAGCGACACAUUAUGCAUCUACAAGGCUUGGUUGCACAUGGAAAAAGAUAGAGAGAGAAAUGUAGACGCAGGACCGGGAGAAAAACAUUCAACGAGACGUGAUUGCACGGACAUAGAACUAGAUAUAAGACAAGAGUUAAAGAAAAAUAAAGGAACUAAAUUUUCUUCUGCACACUAAGCAUGAAUGGAGUUGUAGUAUCUGAGAUCAAAAUUUAAUUUAUUCCAAGAUGCAGAACAAAAACGUGAUACUCGUAAUGGUUACAUAGGAACAUAAGUAGAUAAGAAAAAUAGCAAAAAGAUAGUGGUCUACCAGAGAGGGCACAUGUGCCUCAAUUGGCCUAUAGCAUAGCGACUCAUUAUCCUUCCACCGCUGGUGGCGGGCGGUACUCGCUGCUCUGUGAAGCCAGCCUCACGCAAUGUCUGCCACUUUAGGUGUUGGGAUGCAAAGGCUUUCGCCAAGGCAUCCGAAACCCACUACACAACUUGGAAUGGGUGGUCCACAGUUGGUAGCACUAGACCCAGGCACAUGCACCACAAUUGACAUCCACACUACCUU